GUGGGGAAUAUUGGACAAUGGGGGGAACCCUGAUCCAGCCAUGCCGCGUGUGUGAAGAAGGCCUUUUGGUUGUAAAGCACUUUAAGCGAGGAGGAGGCUUACCUGGUUAAUACCUAGGAUAAGUGGACGUUACUCGCAGAAUAAGCACCGGCUAACUCUGUGCCAGCAGCCGCGGUAAUACAGAGGGUGCGAGCGUUAAUCGGAUUUACUGGGCGUAAAGCGCGCGUAGGUGGUUAAUUAAGUCAAAUGUGAAAUCCCCGAGCUUAACUUGGGAAUUGCAUUCGAUACUGGUUAGCUAGAGUAUGGGAGAGGAUGGUAGAAUUCCAGGUGUAGCGGUGAAAUGCGUAGAGAUCUGGAGGAAUACCGAUGGCGAAGGCAGCCAUCUGGCCUAAUACUGACACUGAGGUGCGAAAGCAUGGGGAGCAAACAGGAUUAGAAACCCGUGUAGUCC
rnacentral:rRNA from 1 species